CUAAGGAUAAUAAAUAAAAAUCAUCAUCUUCAGUUUUGAAAGACUUAGAUUGGUAAGUUUUUCUUUUUUAAGCUCCAAAAGGGCCUAUAGCUCAGUUGGUUAGAGCACACGCCUGAUAAGCGUGAGGUCGGUGGUUCAAGUCCAUUUAGGCCCACCAUUUUGAAAAAAGGUCCUGCUUAAAAAAAAGUUCUUUGAAAAGUAGAUAAAUAUAGCUCUAUAAUUCUUAAUAAAAUU
rnacentral:misc_RNA from 1 species